rnacentral:rRNA from 1 species
GACGAACGCUGGCGGCGUGCUUAACACAUGCAAGUCGAGCGGUAAGGCCCUUUCGGGGGUACACGAGCGGCGAACGGGUGAGUAACACGUGGGUGACCUGCCCUCAGCUCUGGGAUAAGCCUGGGAAACCGGGUCUAAUACUGGAUAUGACUCCAUGACGCAUGUUGUGGGGUGGAAAGCCUUGUGCGGCUGAGGAUGGGCCCGCGGCCUAUCAGCUUGUUGGUGGGGUGANGGCCUACCAAGGCGACGACGGGUAGCCGGCCGGAGAGGGCGACCGGCCACACUGGGACUGAGACACGGCCCAGACUCCUACGGGAGGCAGCAGUGGGGAAUCUUGCGCAAUGGGCGAAAGCCUGAACGCAGCGACGCCGCGUGAGGGAUGACGGCCUGG